CUUAUUAUUUUACUAACCAUUCAUGUGUAACAUAUUACUCUAUAAGUACAUUUCAUUUCCUUGAGGUUCUGAUCAUUACUGUACAAUGCUUUUAUUGCUGAUUGUUUUCUGGUUUCUGCAAGGAGAAGAAGAUUUGGACAGUACAGUGUGAAAUGACUCACUCACUCAACAAGGAAAUGUAUAAAUGUCUGCAUGCAGCAAAAGAGACCUUUUGUUUUCGGCUCUCCCGCCCGCCAUACAAUGUAACUAACUACACUAUUUCUCGAGGACAACCCUUUAAUCUUUGACAAUAAAAUUGAAAAAUCUAUUUAUUAGCGGAUUUAAAAUGGAGUUGUUUAAGGUCCGGC
rnacentral:lncRNA from 1 species